GAGAGGUUGAAUCUUGGCCCAAAUUAGACCCUUUGCGGGUGUCCUGGUAAGAGUUUGCCAUUUUGAAUGGAAGUCUGUCGGCGAGGGUGACAGGUGACUUAUUAACCCUGGCUAACAUGUUAGCUAGAGAAAACGCUGGAUCUCCACUUUUCCUUUAACCUUGCAGAAAAGAGUUCGUUUACUUUUGCUCCUCUCCUCCCCUCAUUAUUUGAUAGUUCUUUAAAGAGUUGCAAGUUUUACUUUGGCUGCUUUUGAUCAGAAGGAAACGGCAGUGCUGGAGCCGAAGCGCUGCAGUGUCUCUGGCUUUGAACUCACCAGGUCUAAAAGCCUGCAAGAAUAUUUUCCCUUUCAGCUUUCUAGCCUGGCUCAUACAACUUCCUGAUAAAGGGAUAUGUUAAAUUGUCCUUAAGGACGACUAGAAAGUGCCUGGUUUGUCCUUCGGAUCUCGUCUACUCUUCAGUUCUAUCGGCCAGUUUUUCAUGACUCCUAGUUCUGGCUCACUCCAGAUUUCUGCCCAUGGCUCAGCCCUGCCCAGCUGGUAGUUUUGGAAUUACUGAUUUAUUGGAAACAAGAGCAAGAAUGAAUUGGGGUAGCAAAAGAUACCCAAACAAGGAAAACAGAGCUUAGUAAUUGUACAGAGAAGAAAAGAAAAAUAGCAGCUGGACGAAUGUAGCUACCAAACAUAAGUCUGUCAUAAGUCUGCCUCUGGCCACAUCCACCACUAGUAUGUGACCCACAAGGUAACGCAGCCCCUGAAUUGAAAAAGGGUUCCCUAUCCCAGAGUAUAGAGAGUGGAGGCAGAUUCCUGCCUCUGUGAGCAAACCCAGGCGAAGACUUAUAUAGAAAAGAGCAAGAGAGGGUGGCACCACUCCCCUAGGUGUGCGAAUCAUGACAGCUUGUUGUUAUAAAUGUGCCUCCGUAUGGUGGAACGCAGAGACAGCCACCUACGUCUCUUCCCCUGACAUGUAACACAACAUCAAACUGUCAUUGUGAGUUAACUAAGCAAACUGGGACCAGGUCCCCUCCUCCCCCAAAGCCACUUCAGAUGAAAAACGAGCCAUUUUUAAAAGUAGGAUUCACGUUCGAGCCUUCAACCUUUCAUAGCCGCAGUCGGCCGCCGAACCGGUGACAUGCUAGUAAUUGCAAUAGUUCAAAUAGCUAAGCCCACGUUUCCGAAGGUGUUCAAAAGCAGCAUGAAUAAAGAGCCUGUCGUUUUGGCAUAGGUGGCACAUUAAUGGAGGGAGGGGAAAUCAAUGCAAACAAUCAGCUUUAAACUUGCAAAAGCAGCAGCUUCCAUAAAUGGUCAUUAACAAGAAUUUCACCUUUAAGAUGUGAAAAAAAAGCAGUUAGCCUACUAACUUGCAGACCAUUUUUUUCUCUCCCUUUCCUCCCACCUCCUGCUCAUUAAUGUUCACACUUGCAAUCAUCUCUAAAGUAAUCUAUGUAUCCUAGUGUAGCCUCACAUUCUAGAGUUCUGGAUCAGACUCCAUGGUUCCUUGGGUGUGGGCAGGGAGGCAGCUGCCCCCCUAAAGUAAGUAAAUAAAAAAUAAUUAACUGAUCAGUUGCGUCACAGAUCUCAGUUCUGCCCUCCCUAACAUAAAGCCUGCACCCAUUAAAAUAAAUCUUGGUUACAACCAUGCAAGGUUCUACGUUGCCCACUAUCCAGAGGACAGCCAGACAUUUCUGGAAAGCCCC